rnacentral:rRNA from 1 species
GUGCCAGCAGCCGCGGUAAUACGGAGGGGGCGAGCGUUGUUCGGAAUCACUGGGUGUAAAGGGUGCGUAGGCGGUUUGUUAAGUCUGAUGUGAAAGCCCUGGGCUUAACUCAGGAAUUGCAUUGGAUACUAGCAAGCUGGAGUACGGGAGAGGGAAGCGGAAUUCCUGGUGUAGCGGUGAAAUGCGUAGAUACCAGGAGGAACACCGGUGGCGAAGGCGGUUUCCUGGCCCAGUACUGACGCUGAGGCACGAAAGCGUGGGGAGCGAACGGGAUUAGAUACCCGCGUAGUCC